UUGGGUAUUUUUCCUCCCUGAGUGCUCUCAAUGACUGGAGCGAUUGUAGAGKGUAUGGCUGUCCACCCAUGUGUGUCCUCAAGCAGUWGCCAUCUCGCAGCCUGCCUAUUCAAAACAAUAUUCAACAGCAAGGAACCAUCUAAGGUUAGCCUGGGUUGAUGGAAGGAAGGAGGACAGCACAAAGGGAAUGGUUCCUGAAACAUGUCAAUGACCUAAUGCAUGGCCUUACUGCUGUCCAUGGCCACCCACUCAGAUACCAGUGAUUUAAUCAGCCAAAUCCCAGGAAAGGAGGGAGCAGAACAACCCCUCCUCAAAUCCAAAGUCAUUGACAGUAAAUUGUGUUAUUUUGUGUUUUUUUCUCUCUGAGAGACUCUGAUCUUCAAUGUGUGUUAAUUCCUACUAACCUGCUUGGUAAGAGC